AAACCAUGCGUUGGGCAUUUCCGCAUCAAGUCUUUAAAUCGCUCUCAAGCUUCAUACAAGUUCUCAUCUACCAAUUACUUGAAAUAUGUGAUGUCGUUUCUUAAUUU